CUAGUGUGCCAUUUUGCUUAUUCUUUCCUUGGACUUUGCAUGCGCUCUAUUCUUUCAGAGAUAUGUUCAAAGCUAGUUCCUCAGAGGUGUAUUCUUUCAUAGAUAUGUUAAAGCUAAUUCUUUAUUCUUUCAGAGAUAUGUUGUUUUCAUACUUUCAGCUCACACUGUAGCUUUUUUUUCAGUUCAAUGGAUUCCAAAAAGGAAAAAAAUUAUGGAUGGGUGAUGAAUCAACUUCCUGUACUGUUGUGCCAUUAGCAUUGGACGACCCCGACCACUGGCACCACUGCUUCCCUACCUCCUGCUUGCAUCGCCAUCUCCCGGUGGGGCUCUGCCGCCGGAGCACCCUGGCCGUUCACAGCCACCACUCCAGGCCGUUCAACGCCACCACCCCAGGCCGUUCAUUGCCAGCAGCACCCUGGAUCCCACCCCUCACCCUAGGAGUUUCAGUUAUCGACAAGUCCAUGUAGUACUACAUGCGAAGUACAAAAAUUACUGCUAGUGAGAGUUCAUUUAAAUCCUGGAAGUUCAACGCUGCAACUACAGGCC